UACGUAGGGUGCAAGCGUUGUCCGGAAUUAUUGGGCGUAAAGAGCUCGUAGGCGGUUUGUCGCGUCUGCUGUGAAAACGCGAGGCUCAACCUCGCGCCUGCAGUGGGUACGGGCAGACUGGAGUGCGGUAGGGGAGACUGGAAUUCCUGGUGUAGCGGUGAAAUGCGCAGAUAUCAGGAGGAACACCGGUGGCGAAGGCGGGUCUCUGGGCCGUAACUGACGCUGAGGAGCGAAAGCGUGGGGAGCGAACAGG
rnacentral:rRNA from 1 species